CCCUUAGAUGUUCUGGGCCGCACGCGCGCUACACUGAUCGGUGCAACAAGCAUCCGUCCUUGGCCGACAGGCCCGGGCAAUCUUUGAACGCUGAUCGUGAUGGGGAUAGACUUUUGCAAUUUUUGGUCUUCAACGAGGAAUUCCUAGUAAACGCAAGUCAUCAACUUGCAUUGAUUACGUCCCUGCCCUUUGUACACACCGCCCGUCGCACCUACCGAUUGAAUGGUCCGGUGAAGCCUCCGGAUUGGCGUGCACCCUCGGGUGCUGCCGAGAAGUUGGCUAAACCUUACCAUUUAGAGGAAGGUGAAGUCGUAACA
rnacentral:rRNA from 1 species